rnacentral:rRNA from 1 species
UACGUAGGUGGCAAGCGUUGUCCGGAAUUAUUGGGCGUAAAGCGCGCGCAGGCGGUCUUUUAAGUCUGAUGUGAAAGCCCACGGCUCAACCGUGGAAGGUCAUUGGAAACUGGGGGACUUGAGUGCAGAAGAGGAAAGCGGAAUUCCACGUGUAGCGGUGAAAUGCGUAGAGAUGUGGAGGAACACCAGUGGCGAAGGCGGCUUUCUGGUCUGUAACUGACGCUGAGGCGCGAAAGCGUGGGGAGCAAACAGG